rnacentral:lncRNA from 1 species
UUGAAAUCAUCAUUGGUGGAGGUGGCUAUGGUCCUGCUCCUGCUCCUGAAUAUUGCCCUCCUCCUCCUCCCCCUCCUGAACCCAUAUGUCCGCCUCCUCCGCCUCCUGAACCCAUAUGUCCAACUCCUCCGCCUCCGCCGCCUCCGCCGCCUCCUCCGCCUCCGCCGCCUCCUCCGCCUCCUCCGCCUCCUCCGCCUCCUCCGCCUCCUCCACCUCCUCCGCUUCCGCCUCCGCCAAAACCCCCUAGCCCAUCUGUUCCCUUUGCCAGCGAUCGAAUCCAACUUGCAUUCAAAGUAAUUCAAAGAUUCAAAAAGAGAAUCACUUAUGAUCCACAAGGAAUAGCAAAGACAUGGGUGGGUCCUGAUGUUUGC